rnacentral:rRNA from 1 species
AGUCAUGGUUAAGUGGGAAACGAUGUGGGAAGGCCCAGACAGCCAGGAUGUUGGCUUAGAAGCAGCCAUCAUUUAAAGAAAGCGUAAUAGCUCACUGGUCGAGUCGGCCUGCGCGGAAGAUGUAACGGGGCUAAACCAUGCACCGAAGCUGCGGCAGCGACACUGUGUGUUGUUGGGUAGGGGAGCGUUCUGUAAGCCUGUGAAGGUGUGCUGUGAGGCAUGCUGGAGGUAUCAGAAGUGCGAAUGCUGACAUAAGUAACGAUAAAGCGGGUGAAAAGCCCGCUCGCCGGAAGACCAAGGGUUCCUGUCCAACGUUAAUCGGGGCAGGGUGAGUCGACCCCUAAGGCGAGGCCGAAAGGCGUAGU